ACUCAGUACCUUCAAUGCAGAAGUUGGCUCAGUGCCGUGACCAAACACUGCCCAUAGUCCAGCUAAGGGCCAACUGGCUGGUGCCACAGGCCAUGUCUGGCCUGCAGUUAGUAUAUCCUGCUCAGUUGUAUCUUCAUGCUCACUGGAUGUCCCUAAAGAAGACAGUUGUCCAUGUGGAAGCAAAGUCUUUGGCCUUGGCUACCAGAGAGAAAAUCAGUUGUUCUGGUGAUCCAUCAAGCAACGGCCUUGUCUACUGCUCAGAGAAUGCUCUCAGAACCACUGGGAUUCCUUUCAACCCUCAUGGCUACCUGGUUUGCACAUAAGGAUUCUGGGUUACCACAUGUCUUUUUUAAAUCAUCCCCACUCCUACCAAUUCUGAAUAAUGCACUUUAAAGGUUGGGUCACAUGUAAAAUAUAUACCUGUCCUCUAGCCCCAGCCAAGAACAUUUUUAGAAGUAAUAAUAGUUGUGAUUAUUCUUAUUGAUUAUUUGUAUGUGUGUGCAUGUGUCUGUGGGGACCAGAGGACAACUCUGGCUGCCAUUUCUAAUACUCUGUCUUACAUCCUCAUUUUUCAGUUUGGUUUGGUUUUGAGGGUUUCUCAAUGGUUUGAAACUCAGCAAUCUGACUAGGCUGGCUUAUGAGUGAGCCCCAGGAAUUGGCUUCUCUCUGCACCCCAGAUGAUGGAAUUACAAGCUUAUGCCAGCAUAUCUCUCUCUCCCUCUCCCUCUCUUUCUCUCCUUUCUCCCAUCCUUCCCUCCCUCCUUCCCUUCCCCCUCUCCCUUCUUCCCUCCCCUCUCCCUCUCCCUCCAGAUCAAACUUAGGCCUUCUUGCUUGCUAGCCAAGCACUUAACCCACUGACCUGUCUCCCCUACCCCUUUUCCUUUAUCAUUGACUUUUUAUUUUUCAACAGACUAAGACUUGACUUGGGCAGACCCAAGAAUAAAAAAUGAUUGAGGACG
rnacentral:lncRNA from 1 species